rnacentral:rRNA from 1 species
GGUAACUUUGGAGUUGGCUCUUGUCUAUGUUCCUUGGAACAGGACGUCACAGAGGGUGAGAAUCCCGUGCGAUGAGAUGCCCAAUUCUAUGUAAAGUGCUUUCAAAGAGUCUAGUUGUUUGGGAAUGCAGCUCUAAGUGGGUGGUAAAUUCCAUCUAAAGCUAAAUAUUGGCGAGAGACCGAUAGCGAACAAGUACAGUGAUGGAAAGAUGAAAAGAACUUUGAAAAGAGAGUGAAAAAGUACGUGAAAUUGUUGAAAGGGAAGGGCUUGAGAUCAGACUUGGUAUUUUGCGAUCCUUUCCUUCUUGGUUGGGUUCCUCGCAGCUUACUGGGCCAGCAUCGGUUUGGAUGGUAGGAUAAUGACUAAGGAA